rnacentral:lncRNA from 1 species
GAAAAAUAAACCAGAAACAAAGGCUGCUAUUUAGAGAGUUAAAAUCCAGAAAAUGUUACUGUUUCAUUGAAUGAUCUUCCGAGAGUUCUUGUGGAAUCUACUCCCUAACAAAAUUUCGAACAGUUGAUAGUUAAAAUAAGCUGAAAUAUGGGUGAUAUACAAGUCUUGGAAUCAUUUUGGUCAAAAACUGAUUUUGUAUUUUGAGUGACAUUGUGUAAAUUCAAAAUUGUUUAAAGUGGUGUCUUUCGACCAUUCCAGGGUUGGUUUGCUGAUGAAUAUUGCUCCUGUUGCUGCUCUUAUGUUGAUUCCUCAUUUCUCUGCUUUCUUUUUCUAUUUUCAGGUAUAUUCCGGUCCUUGGAGUCCAUUUAAGCAUGUAUAUUGAAGUAAUGACUUGAGGAGCA